ACGGACUGCGGCUUUCACAGUGAAACCCAGAGAGCGUCCGAAGCACACUCGCACGCGCGCGCGCGCGCUCUCUCACACACUCACGCGUGCAAAGCAAAGUGACGGAGCCGAACACUUGGCCGCUGUUGGGCUGAGCCUCCAGGCACAGCCGCAUCGCCCCUCCACGAAGAAGAAGAAGAAGUUCCACGUUCGAAGAUGCCGCUGCCUCCGCUGCUGCUGAUGAAGACCCCCACAACUGUGACCCCCACGCAAGCGGCGGCCGCGACGGCUGCGGCGAUGCGGAUACCAAACCCGGGACGCGAACCGGGCAGACAGCAGCUCGCCGGCGGCUCGACUCCGCAGUGGCCUUGAAGAAGCGACCACCCCGCGGCCAACCCUUCACGCGCUGCCAAACCCGAGGGUAGGUUUUCAGACGGGACACAACCGCGCCCCACCACCACCACACUCUAUCAGCUUCCCAACAAACUCUGACCCCCAUGCCCGCACCCUCCACCCCCACCAGCCCCUCUCACCCCUGCCCCAGACCUCAGAGUCCUCUCGGCGCAGCGAUGCUCCAGGCGACGAGAGAGGAAUGGGUGAGUAUAUAGGGUGAGGUAAGUGGGUGGUGAGUGAAUGGGUGAGUGAAGGUGGCUCAGUGAGUGAGUAAAGAGUGUGAGUGAAUAUGUGAAUGGGUGAGUGAGUGGAUAAGUGAGUGAAGGGAGAGUGAGU